AUCCUGGAGAGGAAAUAUCACUAAGUAUUAGUGGUGAGAGAGUGUUAUUUCAUGUUGAGACGCGUGAGGUACCUUAUCAAGCAGAUAAAAGCAAUAUGAACGAGGACGAGUGGAGAGCCGCUAUUAAGUGGAUUGAGAAACAAGAAGGAGAUGGUCCUUGGGUAGUCUCACCAGGAGAUGAUGACCAAAAAUCUGUGUCUCAGGAAGAUGAGGAGACAUUAUUAAGAGAUGCGAUUGAGAGUGGAGAUGAGGCCGAGAGAGAGAGAGAUGCGAGA